UGAAAGGAGUGAAGUAUUGAUUAAAUCUUUCCUGCACACCUGCAAACUCCCCUCACAGGUGUUUUCACUUCUUGUAGCUGAUUCUCAGCUCAGAAAGUGCAUGAUUCACAUUUUCCCUUUUUAUGUUGUCAGUUUUGUUACACCUGUCUGCCUGGACAGCUUCAAUCUUUUCCAUUCUAAGUACAAGCAUUCUGAGACACUGAUGGAGUCCCAGUGUUGCUGAGCAGCGCUCUAAUCAGUGAGUGAGAACACCUGUGAGGCUCUGCAGGGCCUCAGACAGACAAACGUGCAGAUGGGGACAUGAACAGGAUCUGCGAGGAGCUUCCAAAUUUUUCUUGUUGCUGUUCCCCCCUUUGGCCUGUGCUGCAGAGGUCUUUUUUCCCCUCAUACUAUAUUUGACAAGGAAUAUUUCAUCUCUAUACAUCAUGUCCAACAUGGCUGCCUGCUGUGAGCCAACACAGGGGAACAUACCCUGCCCUGCCUGAGUGACUGAGGAAAGAUAGCACCAUGAAUCAGAGGCAGCAGCUGCGCCCAGCCUGAAGCUACUCAGUGUAAAGACAGCAGACAAAACAAAGACAGGGAAAUAAAGGCCAUGGGAGACGAGAACCAGGACAGCAUCACCCUGUGUCGCCACCAGAAACAUGCACCAUCUGCAAAAGGCGGCUGACGUCAGCCGGGCCCCAACAUCACCUAGCUAGGGUAGGACUGGAUUGGUGUUGGUCGGUGUGGUCGGUCAUUCAGUCAAGCUUUUGAAAUAUGCAUUUUUUUUGUUUGUUUGUUUUUUCUUUUUAAUUUAUGAUGUAUUUUCCCCACUUUUGUGUUUUUACAACUUUCCAAGCAGCCUCUUCCCGGCCAGGAUCCAGGCACCAAUCCGACCACGGAGGAUAAAUGCUCCAAACAGCUUUAGAGUUCAGGCAAAGCUGCAGAGAGAAGAAUCGAAAGCCUCUCCCCCUCAAG